rnacentral:rRNA from 1 species
GACGAACGCUGGCGGCGUGCUUAACACAUGCAAGUCGUACGGUAAGGCCCUUUCGGGGGUACACGAGUGGCGAACGGGUGAGUAACACGUGAGUAACCUGCCCACAACUUUGGGAUAACGCUAGGAAACUGGUGCUAAUACUGGAUAUGUGCUCCUGCUGCAUGGUGGGGGUUGGAAAGCUCCGGCGGUUGUGGAUGGACUCGCGGCCUAUCAGCUUGUUGGUGGGGUAGUGGCCUACCAAGGCGGCGACGGGUAGCCGGGCUGAGAGGGUGACCGGCCACAUUGGGACCGAGAUACGGCCCAGGCUCCUACGGGAGGCAGCAGGGGGGAAUAUUGCACAAUGGGCGCAAGCCUGAUGCAGCAACGCCGCGGGCGGGAUGACGGCCUUCGGGUUGUAAACCGCUUUCAGCAGGGACGAAGCUUUUUGUGACGGUACCUGCAGAAGAAGCACCGGCUAACUACGUG